GGGAUUUCUGUAGCAGUUUCUUUUGCAUAGCAGAGCUCCGACUUUUCCAGCAACAGCGUGUCCCUGGAAGCUACACAAAGUCCUCUUUGAUUGCCUGUGAUCAAAGCCACGAAGGCUCUCCUGCAACAUCUUAGCUUCAGAAAGCCAGGAAAAUCAGAAUGCUGAGAGUAUAUUAAUAAUUCCUAAACAUAUUUUUAAGGGUAUCAGAGCCAGGAGGGUGGCUGACUCUGAUGAUAGAACAAGAGCCAAAUAUGCUCCUGAUGCUCCAGUAGAGUGGUCUUCAGGUGAUCGAGAUUCCGAGCUCCCAAACCAAGGCAAGAAUAAGGAAACUGGAACAGGAGGGCAUGCUGGGCUCCAGCCUCCCGUGACAGUGAAACAUUGCCUUAGAAUGACUGUUGUUAAUACAAUUGAGGAAAUAUAACACGUAAUCUUGUGAUUAAGUUAUACACAAUUUGAUUUAAAUUUAGUUCCUGGCAGUUGCUAGGUUUCACUCUGGCAUACUCUCUCAGUGUGGAAGCUGCUGAUUCAGAAAGAGAUGUUCCAAAGCUCAUGUAUUUCCUGGACACAUCCAAGUACUGAAUAAAAUGCUGGUUAAAUAAAUGAGUUAAUUUUCCAAGAAAGACA
rnacentral:lncRNA from 1 species